GACACUUUUUCGCAUAGUGUGCAAGCAUGGCCACCACUGAUGGAUUACAGGGUGGUCGUAACCAUGGAAACGAUCAGUGUAUAAUGUCAUGGAAAAACGAACUCAGCUAGCAAAGGAGGCAAUAUGGAUAAUAACAGUACAUUACAGAAGAGUCUCAAAAUU